CUGGGGCGCUUCACUUGGCAGGUGUAGACGUCUCCCUGCUCGGAGCUCAUUUCCAGCAUCACCGGGGUCUGGAUGUCCAGUCUCAUUACGAAUCAGGUUCCAACAGGUGAAUUUGAGGGAGACACCAACAUUCAGACUAUCGCAGAGGACAACUGGCCUUUUAGUGUCUAGGUUGCUGGACCACGAGAAACCACAGCUAGAGAUGAUGAAGAGAAAUUCAAAGCACUAAAUAAUCCUGGACUGUGAAGUGAAUGCAUAAACCAAAAGAAACUUGAGAGAAAGCAAUAUAGCUCCCACUGGAGCAGACCCUGGUCUGAAGUCGGUAGGAGAUCUGGCUAAGUAAGAUAAAACAUGAGGCCACCGAAGAGUGAAGUAACUUUGCAAGAACUUAUAGCAAUAAAGGAAAAGAGAUAGAAUUCAAUACAGCUUGGCCUCCGAGUUCAUCUUCUCGUUCAACAUAUCACCACUUCCUAUUUUUCACAUGACAAGAUCAAGCUCAGGGUUCCAGAAAGCUGUCUCUGCUCUCCAGAAGCCAGACAAUAGACAAGUUGAUCUUUCAGUAUCCACAACAGUGAGAGGAAUGUCCCAAGAACUCCAUAAUAGUCAAAACACACAAUUAGAGAACUCUCAGCUAUGGAUUUCUUUAUUUCUUUCUUUAACAAAUAUACUAAUUCACCAGGUUAAAAAAAACUAUUGUAAAAUUUAAUGUUUUAUCUGUAAAAUGGGGAUUUAAAAA